rnacentral:rRNA from 1 species
AUUCCAGCUCCAAUAGCGUAUAUUAAAGUUGUUGCAGUUAAAAAGCUCGUAGUUGAAUUUCUGUCCGCGACGGCGGUCUGCCGCUUCGUGCGGUUUGUACUUGUGUGUUCGUGGGCAUAUUUGUGGGGUGCGGUGCGUUUCCUUGAUUGGUUGUCGUGUCGUGUUUUAAAGCCCUGCAUCGAUUACUGUGAACAAAUUAGAGUGUUUAAAGCAGGCGUUUUGGCUUGAAUAGAUUAGCAUGGAAUAAUGAUAUAGGACUUUGGUGCUAUUUCGUUGGUUGUGUACCUUAGUAACGAUUAAUAGGGAUAGUUGGGGGUAUUCAUAUUUGAUUGUCAGAGGUGAAAUUCUUGGAUUUAUUAAAGAUGAACAAGUGCGAAAGCAUUUACCAAGGAUGUUUUCAUCA